CACCAUCACCACCAUCACCACCAUCACCACCACCACCAUCACCUGAUGACAUAGAUGAAAAUGAUGCUUUAGAUGGGGAAGAGUGAUGGUUGAACCAAUGACCACUGCAGCCGGCGGCCUUGGGUGAAAAGCUAACGUGCGCACUUGAAGCGUCAGCUGAAGACGAGACACUGGAGUCAUCCGGGGGAAGCUGACAGGUUGUCUAUCAAGGAGACGUAAGGAAGAGGAUGAGGUACAAAAGCAGAGAGAGGAGUAAUAACACAGAAGCUGGACGUCAGCUGUCUGGAGUUACUUACAUGCAGCCAUAUCAUUGGGUAAGAGACAGCAUGAAAUAUGGACAGAGGGUAGGAGUGGAAGGGUUAAUAAAGACAAAUUAAAAAACACACCAUAACAGGUCUUUAAAACAUCUAAAGCUGUUCAUUGCAACAGUGUUAGUCACUGAAAUUGAGACAACAGUAGGAGAGGUCUGUCAGAGGGAGAAACAACAGAGCGUGCAGCAGUUACACAAAUUUAAAACCUCUUUCUUUAGUUUGAACUUAUUGUACCUUGUUUUCUACUAUGUCUCAUGUCUUACCUGCAUUGUGCUUUGCCAGGUACUUGUCCUUGUACUGUUUCUUCUUUUUGCCAAACCAGGUACAGCUGGCCUGCUGUUCCUGUUUGGUCUUCUCCAUGGCUAUACAAGCCACACGCCUGAAAACACAGCGGAGGUACAUUUGUUUGAAUUUUGUUUUUACUAAUGCAGUCAAUUACAACAGUGCUGCACUACAUCUAACCCAUAUGAUUAUAUGGGUUAGAUGUAGUAUAAGGACUUUCUUAGACAGGACUAUUCCUCAUACAACAGGCUAGAACUGAACCUGCAGCUACUGCAAGACAAAUCAGACUGAACUCCUGUGGUGUAUUGGUAACACGUCUGUCAGAUCUGAUAGAAGAACCAGGAAUGACUGGCUUUACAAUGCUUUAAUAUUUGAUCAUGUAUCUGUAAUACUGUUUACUUUGAUAUUUUGAAACAAUAUUUUUCGUAGUUUUGCUCACCACUCCUGCAGC